AGAGCAUCUGACUUUUAAUCAGAGGGUCAGGAGUUCGAAUCUCCUGCGAGUCA
rnacentral:tRNA from 1 species